GACGAACGCUGGCGGCGUGCUUAACACAUGCAAGUCGAACGGAAAGGCCCUGCUUUUGUGGGGUGCUCGAGUGGCGAACGGGUGAGUAACACGUGAGUAACCUGCCCUUGACUUUGGGAUAACUUCAGGAAACUGGGGCUAAUACCGGAUAGGAGCUCCUGCUGCAUGGUGGGGGUUGGAAAGUUUCGGCGGUUGGGGAUGGACUCGCGGCUUAUCAGCUUGUUGGUGGGGUAGUGUCUUACCAAGGCUUUGACGGGUGGCAGGCCUGAGAGGGUGACCGGCCACAGUGGGACUGAGAUACGACCCAGACUCCUACGGGAGGCAGCAGUGGGGAAUAGGGCACAAUGGGCGGAGGCCUGAUGCAGCAACGCCGCGUGCGGAAUGACGGCCUUCGGGUUGUAAACCGCUUUCGCCUGUGACGAAGCGUGAGUGACGGUAAUGGGUAAAGAAGCACCGGCUAACUACGUG
rnacentral:rRNA from 1 species